rnacentral:rRNA from 1 species
AUUGAACGCUGGCGGCAGGCUUAACACAUGCAAGUCGAGCGGGGUGAUGGUGCUUGCACUAUCACUUAGCGGCGGACGGGUGAGUAAUGCUUAGGAAUCUGCCUAUUAGUGGGGGACAACAUCUCGAAAGGGAUGCUAAUACCGCAUACGUCCUACGGGAGAAAGCAGGGGAUCACUUGUGACCUUGCGCUAAUAGAUGAGCCUAAGUCGGAUUAGCGAGUUGGUGGGGUAAAGGCCUACCAAGGCGACGAUCUGUAGCGGGUCUGAGAGGAUGGUCAGCCACACUGGGACUGAGACACGGCCCAGAAUCCUACGGGAGGUAGCAGUGGGGAAUAUUGGACAAUGGGGGGAACCCUGAUCCAGCCAUGCCGCGUGUGUGAAGACGGCCUUAUGGUUGUAAAGCACUUUAAGCGAGGAGGAGGCUCUUUUGGUUAAUACCCAAGAUGAGUGGACGUUACUCGCAGAAUAAGCACCGGCUAACUCUGUGCCAGCCGCCGCCGUAA